rnacentral:rRNA from 1 species
GACGUAGGAGGCGAGCGUUGUCCGGAUUCAUUGGGCGUAAAGAGCGCGCAGGCGGCUUGGUAAGUCGGAUGUGAAAUCCCGAGGCUCAACCUCGGGUCUGCAUCCGAUACUGCCCGGCUAGAGGUAGGUAGGGGAGAUCGGAAUUCCUGGUGUAGCGGUGAAAUGCGCAGAUAUCAGGAGGAACACCGGUGGCGAAGGCGGAUCUCUGGGCCUUACCUGACGCUCAGGCGCGAAAGCUAGGGGAGCGAAUGGG